ACGCGUGGAACCUUACCAGGUCUUGACAUCCCAUUGACCGCUAUGGAGACAUAGCUUUCCCUUCGGGGACAGUGGUGACAGGUGGUGCAUGGUUGUCGUCAGCUCGUGUCGUGAGAUGUUGGGUUAAGUCCCGCAACGAGCGCAACCCUUGUUCUUAGUUGCCAUCAUUUAGUUGGGCACUCUAAGGAGACUGCCGGUGACAAACCGGAGGAAGGUGGGGAUGACGUCAAAUCAUCAUGCCCCUUAUGACCUGGGCUACACACGUGCUACAAUGGACGGUACAAACGGUUGCCAACCCGCGAGGGGGAGCUAAUCCGAUAAAACCGUUCUCAGUUCGGAUUGUAGGCUGCAACUCGCCUACAUGAAGCCGGAAUCGCUAGUAAUCGCGGAUCAGCAUGCCGCGGUGAAUACGUUCCCGGGCCUUGCACUCACCGCCCGU
rnacentral:rRNA from 1 species